GAUUGUUAAAACCCAGGCAAAAGAUCUUUGGGAUGGGUGUUAAAGGGAACUUAGAAAAUUUCUAACCUCCAGAACUAGGAGAAAAUACAUUUCUGUUGUUUAAGUAAAACCAGUCUGUGGCAAUUGAAUAUAGCAACCUUAGGAGAUAAAGACAUAUGGUUUUUGCAAGUAGUCUGAAAUUAUUCUCAUCUUUACAACCUAAGGUGCACUAUAUCCAUUUUUCCCUCCAAAUGAUUUUAAGAAUUGCGUUUUUCUCUAAGUAUAUUAUUGCUUGAGUUGAUCCAUUUUUUAGGUUUACACUCACUGGUACAGUCUAUAAAUUUCACUAAAUUGGAGAGGGUAUGGACAUUAUUAGUGAAAUAUUUUUGUCAUUACUUUUCUUUUCCUGAGACUCCAGUAAUACAUUAAAUCACUUAACAUUAAACAUAGUUCUCUGAGUCUCAUUUCAUGGUUUUCCUUGUGCUUUACUCUGUUCAGUUGCUGUUACUAUGUCUUUAAUUUUAGUGGUCUUCUGGAGUGCGUCAUUUCUCAUAUCAAGUAAAUUUUAAAAUUUUACAUAUACUUGUUAGUUCCAGAAAUGUGAACUUUAAAUCUCACAUUUGUUCUUGAAAUUUUAGAUUUUCCUUGACAAUGCAUAAAAAUAUAAUAAUUCAUUUAAAAUCUCUUUUAAUUCUACCACAUUUUGUUUCUGGCCUUUUUCCUGUGUCUGAUUUGUUGUUUCUUCCUGACUAGUCAGGAAGAAAUAUUGUCAUAUUGUCUUGUUGUUACAUUGCAUGUUUAGUAAUUUUUUAUUGUAUUCUAGACAUCUCGACAUUGUGUUUUUCAUUUCUAGAAAUUUGAAGUCAAUAGUUUUCAAAUCUAAGUAAGUGUUUAGUUUUCUUUUCUUCUAAGUGGUAAACCUGUUUUUAGCAGGUAGUUAGUAGGUUGUAUAUCAGCUUGAUCUUUAGAAUCACGCUCUGAAGCAUUUUUGAGUGAUCUAGAAUAUCUUCUCCAUUGCACAUUUAACUGUAUAUGAAACUGUAAUUUUUAAAUGGUCAAAGUUGAAUGUCCUGGUUUUCAACAAGGAUUUUAACCAGGAAACCUUGUUUCCUGAUCCCAUGUGAGCUCUGGAAACUCAUUUUGUGUGAUCUCAGCUGCUUUUUCUUGCAUAGUUUCUCCUAAGCUUGUGCAAUUUAUAAUCAGAAAUAUACUAAAAUGAACUCUUCAAAUUUCUGUAGUUAUUUUCUCCAUUCUGCUUCUAUUUGUUAAGAACACUGACAUGUCUCUAUUAAAUGGUCAUUGCUAUAUUUUUCAAAGUUCAACUGAGUUUAUUUGAAUGGAUGGGAUAUUUAUUCUUGCCAUUUAAAAAUAACUGCCAUGAUGUGAAUAUAAAAUAACCCCCCAACAGCCAGAUCAAAGGUAAGGCUUUUGAAAGGCGACUGGAUCAUGAGUACUCUAUGAAGUUAGAGUACUCAUUGAAGUUUUAGAAUACUCAUUGUUUUCUGCAGUUAUUUUCUUCAUUGUAGCUAUUUUCUCCGUUGGUUUCAUCUCUUCUGUAACCUGCCUGAAAAUCCUAGCUGUGUCAACUUGCCUAAAUUGUGAUUUUUGUUCUUCAUGCUCUGCUUGGUUUUAGCUACAGUGCACUGUGGUCCAGAAAAAACAAAAAAAUUCAAUCCUGUUGCCAUUAGGGUAAGUGUAGGAAUCAACCCAAUAUUCUUUCCUUUAUUUGAAUCAUAAUCAAGCUUUCUCUGCUGACUGCUAUCUGAAAUUAACAGUGUUAAUAUUUGGUCUAUCUCCUAUAGUAACUUGUUUCUUUCCACAAUUGGAAGACAAGCUCAGUAUCAGUUACUUUAAGAUGGUCAAAAGUAGAGAGCUUACAUCUAGAAGUUCACUAGGAGUUUAUGUGUAAGUUGUGUGCUGCAGAAGGGCAAUGGUUUUAUAGAGAGAUUUCCAUGUGUUUUAUUCUGGAUAUCUUCAAACCUAAGUCAAAAUAUGAAUAACUUAUAACACAAAAGUACACCUAAUUUUUCAUUCAGAAUAUACAGAAGUCCUAAAAAUUCCACAUGAAUAUAUAUUAUGCAAUGCAUCUUCAUAUAUCCUUGAGCAUGUAUCUGAACUGUCCUGUGAAUAUAGAUAGUGUCAAUGUGAGAUUUGUUACCUCUGGGAAGAGAUAGCAAGAGGGAAGAAGUAAGAUUUACUUUGAGACAUAGACUCAAAAUGAAUUUAAGAUAAUACAUUCAUUAAGGAAACGAUAAAUCCAACAUAUUUAUAAAUUACUAUGUAUGAUUUUUGAAUACAUAUUGGUAAAUAAAAUGUAAGUGGAUUUUUAAAAAUAAUUUUCAAAAUCAAAAAUUUUUUCAGUGUAUGUGAUGGUCAACACAGUGUCGUGUUCUUAUGCUGAUAAGAAAGACAUAGUAUCUACUAAGAAAUGUAUUGUCUAAUUAGGGAAAUAAGACAGAAGAAAUAAACAGGUAAUGAGGGACAGUGCCAAAAAGAUACCACGAUCUCAAUUCUUCACAAGAAAUCUGACAUAAUCCUCCACAACCCAUAAUGGGGUUCACCUAUGUUAAGGAACAUUCUUAAUCCUUUACCUUUUUCCCACUCCCUCCGUCUGUGUCCCUUCUUAUUUGUGUGGAUAAGGAGACAGGUUAAUACUUAUGAUGGAUUUUAUUAUAAUCGGUAUCUAACAUCUAAUCAAAGGUAAUGUUCCACACAAUUACUUUGUAAAACUAUGUAAUAUGUAUAUAAUAUUGCUAUUUAUCAUAACCUAUUUAGAAUCCAUCUUUCACAGUGUUUCUGCCAUAAGCACUUUGAUUUUAUUUUUUUAUUUUUAUUUAUUCAUUUUUAAGGCAAAAUCAUAUUCCUUAUAUUUCCUAGAUUUAUAAAUAAAAUUCAACAGUAUUUACAUCUCAAUUACUUUUGUAUUUUUCAUAAACUUCAAAGAUGUAUUUAAAAAAUUCACCAUGUUCUUUAAAAAUGAUCUGAAAAAGGGGCUUCCAAAAAAUUUCAUGAAUAAUCUCUGGCUUCCCAAAAUAAAUAUGUUCCUUAAAUUCUAUUUUAUUUGAGAAUUUCCAUGUAUGCCUUUCUCAAAGUAUGCAGUUUCUACUGUUACUAAUAUCUUCCACUAUGUGUUAUAUUUGUUAUAAUUAAUGAAUUAAUAUUGACUUAAUGAAUUCCAUAAUUUAUAUUAAGGUGAUGCAUGCCUGUAAUGCAAGCAACUCUGUAUAACAGAGGCAGGAGGAUCACAAGUUCAAGUCCAGCCUAGUCAACUUAGUGACUUAGCAAGAUUAUCAAAAAAGAAAAAGCAAACAAAAAAUCAGUGGGAUUGCAACUUAUCAUAAAGAUCCUGGAUUUAGUUCUUGGAACACACAUACGCGAGUUCAUUUAUGUGUUAGAUAUUCCUAUUAGCUUUAAUAAAUCCAUAAUACCACUUAACUACAAUUAUAGCAUUACAAAUAAUAGUUGCAUCACUCCAGAAAUUACUUUUUGUAGUUUGCUUUUCCAAGAAUGUGAUAUGAUUGACAUCAUCUUUAAUGAGGCCUUUCCAGACUGGCUCCUGUCAUUUAGCAAUAGGCAUUUUAAGGCUCCUGUGUUUGGGACGGGGGGUGUUUAUCCGUUCACUCAUUGAAGGAUAUUUUGAUUGCUUUCAGUUUUUGGCAGUUACUAAUAAAACUGCUAAGCUCUGUGUGCAAGGUCUUUUCAAUUGAAUAAGUACCUUGAAGUAUGAGUGCUAGAUUAAAUGUAAGAGUAUGUUCAAUUUUGUAAGAAAUUGCCAUACUUUCUAUCAAAGUCCUGAUGCCAUUCUGCUUUCCUGUUGUAAAUAGAAUAUUCCUGUUCCCCUGUACCCCUAUCAGCACUUGGUGGUGUCACUGCUUUAGAUCUUUGGGAUUCUAAUAGGUAAGUAUUGAUAUGUUACUGUUAUUUUAAGUGCAAUUUCCCUAAGGACAUGGAUGUUGAGUUUCUUUUUUGUCUGUAUAUUUGACAUAUCUAUCGCUUCAUUACUAAGAGUUUUUAUACUUUUUGAAAUUAUUUUGUUUUUUUCUUGUUUAUUUUAAAUGCUCUUUGUAUAUUUUAUUAGAUUUAUAUUAUACAAAUAUUUUCUACCAGUCUGUGCCUUAUUUUUCCAUUCUUUUAGUAGUGUCUUUCACAAAGCACAGAUUUUUAUUUUUAAAAUCCAUUUUAUUCAUUUUUUCUUGCACUUUCUUAUUUCUUGUUAUAGCUGAAAAUACGUUAUAUGAUAUUUUCUAAAAGGUUCAUGAUUUUGCCUUUUCCAUUUAGGAUUAUGAUCCAUUUUGAAUUCAUUUUGUGAAAAGUAUAAAUUUUUUGCAUGAUCCAUAUUUUUCCAGAUAGCUAUCCAAUUUUUCUGGUUCUAUUUGUUAAGAACACUAACAUUUCUCUAUCACAUUGUCAUUGCUAUGUUUAUCAAAGUUAGCUGAGUUUAUUUGAGUGGAUAAGAUAUUUCUUCUUGCCGUUUAAAAAUAACUAUCGUGUAUGAAUAUAAAAUGUGCCCCCGAAGGGAACAUCAAAUGUAAGGCUUUUGAGUGGUGACUGGAUCAUGCGUACUCUAACUUCACUGGUACAUGAAUCCAAUGGUGGAUUUAUAAGGUGCUAACAUCAUUGAGAGGUGAUGAGGACAGAGGAGACCAGACCUACUUAAAGGUCUAGAAGCAGUGGAACCAGGUGACCAUGGACUGAACUCCGAACACGCAAGUCAAAAUAAACUUUCCCUCCUUUGAAUUGUUUUCUUCAGGUGUUUUGUCACAGUGACAGAAAACAACACAAUAAAAUUAGUCAAUUUUUGUAAAUGAGGUGAAGUAAGAGAAACAAAAUAUGCAGAGCAUUUUCUACUGUUGGAUGAUGGAGUAAAGUUGGUUGUCUUCCCGUUUCAUAAAUUACUCCGCAGAAACAAGGAUAAUCACAGGCAGAUGAAGAUUUUUCUUUGAUGACGUAGAGUUCUUUUCUUUCUUUUUUCUAGUUGUAAAUCACCGUGUGGAAGAAAGGUUUGCCAAAUGCAGUACUGGUUAAAUGAGGACACCAGGAGACUGUUAGGUCUUCUUUGUGGGGCUUGAAAUGCUAAACAGCUGGAAUUCCCCAGACAUAACUCCUAGGAGCAAAGCCGUCUUUUGCACAUCAGAAAUGUGUAACUGGACUAUGAUAGACCACCCUAAAAGCUGUUUUACACCACAAAGGAGCAUGCGUGCGCAGGCGUGAGUGCACACACACUCCUGUGCAAGAAAGAACUGCGGGAUAAACCAGAAAAAAUUGCUCCUAUCUUGGAAGACUGGCUUCCAACGCAUGAAUUUUCUUUAAAUUGUAGAGGAUAAACCUGUUUCUCUCACAAAUAACUAAUGCAUUUUUAAAAAUUAGGAAUGUUAGAUAAUGUCAAAAAAAGAACAGAAAAAAAACCUGUAGUAACCAAAGAAUACUGAUUAAAAAUAAUGACGUAAUAUAUAAAAAUUAUGAUCAAAAGUAAGACUGCUUUGAGAUAAAACGCUGUUGUAUAAAAAAGUUUCAAAGCAGACAUAUGCCCACCGCUCGCCCGAGCCACAGCUGCUCACCAGGAAGAGGGGUGCGUUGCUUCCUUGUUCAGCGCCCUAAGUUCCAACAACUUGCUCUCCUUCCUGGUAAGCAGCGGUUGCUCGAGAGAGCGGUGGGCAAGCCAGGAGGAGAACCAGUCAUUGUCUCCCGUGAGCCUACGAAUGCGUGGGCAGAGAAUCAAACAUCCCAUUGCCCUGCCCAUUAGCAACCCGGAGCCAGAGGUCUGAGCAUCUCUUGGGAGGAUGAUUGUAUACAGGGUAGCAAAUAUGGGGGAUUUCCUUCUAGCAUCUCUUUGAAGGCAAAUAUUGUUUUCACUGUUUUGCUUUGUUCUGAUUGUUUUGCUCUACUCAACAUUGUUUUGAUAGGUUUUAUAAUGUUCUGCUUUUGGUUUGAUUUUGCUAUACCUGACUGAAUGGACCACUAUUGUGAAGAUAACAAAAUAUACUAUGGUACCGAUUACUGUUAACCCAGUACCCUGCUGUGAAGUUCUGUACCAAUUUCACUGCAUUGUAUUGCUUGGCUUUGUUCUGUUUUUCUUUCUGUGUGUAUAUAUAUAUGUAUAUAUAUGGUGCAUACUCAAAUUAAAAAAUUAGAAUAAAA